GACGAACGCUGGCGGCGUGCUUAACACAUGCAAGUCGAACGGAAAGGCCCUGCUUGCAGGGUACUCGAGUGGCGAACGGGUGAGUAACACGUGGGUGAUCUGCCCUGCACUUCGGGAUAAGCUUGGGAAACUGGGUCUAAUACCGGAUAGGAGCCAUCUUUAGUGUGGUGGUUGGAAAGUUUUUUCGGUGUAGGAUGAGCUCGCGGCCUAUCAGCUUGUUGGUGGGGUAAUGGCCUACCAAGGCGGCGACGGGUAGCCGGCCUGAGAGGGUGUACGGCCACAUUGGGACCUAGGUACGGCCCAGACUCCCAAGGGAGGAAGCAGUGGGGAAUAUUGCACAAUGGGCGCAAGCCUGAUGCAGCGACGCCGCGGGGGGGAUGAAGGCCUUCGGGUUGUAAACUCCUUUCGCUAGGGACGAAGCUUUUUGUGACGGUACCUAGAGAAGAAGCACCGGCUAACUACGUG
rnacentral:rRNA from 1 species